rnacentral:lncRNA from 1 species
UCCUCCCUCGGACAUGGCGCUCACCUGCCCGGCCGCAGCAGCCGGCUCCGGCGCCGCGGUUCGCGGGUCCGGGCGGAAGAGCAGCUCCAGCUUCAAACGUGGGGUGGAAGGAGGCGGCGGGGGCGACGGCGGCGGCGACGGCGGGGGCGCGGCCCGCGGGCCCGGCCGGCAUGGUGUCCCAGGUGCUGCAGCUGCUCCGGCAGGGCGUGUGGGCCGCGCUCACCGGGGGCUGGUACCACGACCCGGAGCAGAGCAAGUUCACCAACAGCUGCCACCUCUACCUGUGGCUGUUCCUCCUGCUGCUGCCCCUGGCCCUGCACCUGG